UGGGGGAUAUUGCACAGUGGGGGAAACCCUGAUGCAGCGACGCCGCGUGUAGGAAGACGGUCCUCUGGAUUGUAAACUACUGUCUUCGGGGACGAUAAUGACGGUACCCGAGGAGGAAGCUCCGGCUAACUACGUGCCAGCAGCCGCGGUAAUACGUAGGGGGCAAGCGUUAUCCGGAUUUACUGGGUGUAAAGGGAGCGUAGACGGUACUGCAAGUCUGGAGUGAAAUGCGGGGGCUCAACCCCCGAACUGCUUUGGAAACUGUGAUACUGGAGUGCAGGAGAGGAAAUCGGAAUUCCAAGUGUAGCAGUGAAAUGCGUAGAUAUUUGGAGGAACACCGGUGGCGAAGGCGGAUUUCUGGGCCUUUACUGACGCUAAAGUGCGAAAGCUAGGGGAGCAAACG
rnacentral:rRNA from 1 species